rnacentral:tRNA from 1 species
GAGGAUAUAGCUCAGUGGUAGAACGUGUGCUUAUCACGCACGAGGUCUUGGGUUCAAUCCUUGGUAUCUCCA